rnacentral:rRNA from 1 species
GACGAACGCUGGGCGGCGUGCUUAACACAUGCAAGUCGAACGGUGAACCAGAGCUUGCUCGUGGGGAUCAGUGGCGAACGGGUGAGUAACACGUGGGCAACCUGCCCCAGACUCUGGGAUAACCUCGGGAAACCGAUGCUAAUACCGGAUACGACCACUUCGGACAUCCGACGGUGGUGGUAAAGUUUUCGGUCUGGGAUGGGCCCGCGGCCUAUCAGCUAGUUGGUGGGAUAAUGGCCUACCAAGGCGACGACGGGUAGCCGGCCUGAGAGGGCGACCGGCCACACUGGAACUGAGACACGGUCCAGACUCCUACGGGAGGCAGCAGUGGGGAAUAUUGCACAAUGGGCGAAAGCCUGAUGCAGCGACGCCGCGUGAGGGACGACGGCCUUCGGGUUGUAAACCUCUUUCAGCAGGGACGAAGCGAAAGUGACUGUACCUGCAGAAGAAGCACCGGCUAACUACGUG